GAAGCUGACCAGACAGUCGCCGCUUCGUCGUCGUCCUCUUCGGGGGAGACGGGCGGAGGGGAGGAAAGUCCGGGCUCCAUAGGGCAGGGUGCCAGGUAACGCCUGGGGGGCGCAAGCCCACGACCAGUGCAACAGAGAGCAAACCGCCGAUGGCCCACGUAAGUGGGAUCAGGUAAGGG
rnacentral:RNase_P_RNA from 1 species